AACGAACGCUGGCGGCAUGCCUAACACAUGCAAGUCGAACGAGACCUUCGGGUCUAGUGGCGCACGGGUGCGUAACGCGUGGGAACCUGCCCUUAGGUUCGGAAUAACUCCCCGAAAGGGGUGCUAAUACCGGAUAAUGUCUUCGGACCAAAGAUUUAUCGCCUUUGGAUGGGCCCGCAUUGGAUUAGCUAGUUGGUAGGGUAAAAGCCUACCAAGGCGACGAUCCAUAGCUGGUCUGAGAGGAUGAUCAGCCACACUGGGACUGAGACACGGCCCAGACCCCUAGGGGGGGAAGAAGGGGGGAAUAUUGGACAAGGGGGGAAAGCCUGAUUCAGCAAUGCCGGGUGAGUGAUGAAGGCCUUAGGGUUGUAAAGCUCUUUUACCCGGGAUGAUAAUGACAGUACCGGGAAAAAAAGCCCCGGCUAACCCCGG
rnacentral:rRNA from 1 species